GCGCGUUGGGGCCAGUGGUUCUUAACAGUUCAACAGUUCUGUAGCGCAAUUGUGAAAUGUUUAGGACCACUAGCUCCGGC
rnacentral:pre_miRNA from 12 species